GACGAACGCUGGCGGCGUGCCUAAUACAUGCAAGUAGAACGCAGUUGCGAACGGGUGAGUAACGCGUUGGUAACUGCCUCAUAGCGGGGGAUAACUAUUGGAAACGAUAGCUAAUACCGCAUACUGUGAGAUGGACCUGCGUUGUAUUAGCUAGUUGGUGAGGUAAAGGCUCACCAGGGCGACGAUACAUAGCCGACCUGAGAGGAGUACCAGCCACACUGGAAUUGAGACACGGGAAAGAAUCGUACGGGAGGCAGCAGAGGGGAAUAGUGCACAAUGGGAGCAAGCCUGAUGCAGCGAUGCCGCGUGUAUGAAGAGGGCCUUCGGGUUGUAAAGUACUUUCAGCGAGGAGGGGUUACUCGCAGAAGAAGCAACGGCUAACUCCGUGCCAGCAGCCGCGGUAAUUC
rnacentral:rRNA from 1 species